GGGGAAUUUUGGACAAUGGGGGCAACCCUGAUCCAGCCAUGCCGCGUGAGUGUAGAAGGCCUUCGGGUUGUAAAGCUCUUUCGGACGGAAAGAAAACGGAUGGGUUAAUACCCUGUUCGGAUGACGGUACCGUCAUAAGAAGCACCGGCUAACUACGUGCCAGCAGCCGCGGUAAUACGUAGGGUGCGAGCGUUAAUCGGAAUUACUGGGCGUAAAGCGUGCGCAGGCGGUUGAUUAAGACAGGCGUGAAAUCCCCGGGCUUAACCUGGGAACUGCGCUUGUGACUGGUCGGCUAGAGUACGGCAGAGGGGGGUGGAAUUCCACGUGUAGCAGUGAGAUGCGUUGAGAUGUGGAGGAACACCGAUGGCGACGGCAGCCCCCUGGGCCGAUACUGACGCUCAUGCACGAAACCGUGGUUAGCAAACA
rnacentral:rRNA from 1 species